AACACCUAAUAUAAUAAUGAAAGUCCCAUUAUGCAUGAAGCCUGGACGUGGGAAGCAAGUGUACGCAUGAAGGAAUGGAUGGGCACAUAUUAAAAUAAUAGUAUAAUUGUUACUGGAGUCUUCAAGGAGCAAGAAGCAAAGUUUAACUUUGCUAGUACUUGCACGUGAAGGAAACGCAGCCCACGGUUUUUGACUGCCAAG
rnacentral:lncRNA from 1 species